rnacentral:rRNA from 1 species
UACGGAGGGUGCAAGCGUUAUCCGGAUUCACUGGGUUUAAAGGGUGUGUAGGCGGGUAUUUAAGUCAGUGGUGAAAUCUCCAGGCUCAACCUGGAAACUGCCAUUGAUACUAUUUAUCUUGAAUAUCGUUGAGGUAGGCGGAAUAUAUCAUGUAGCGGUGAAAUGCUUAGAUAUGAUAUAGAACACCGAUUGCGAAGGCAGCUUACUAAACGAAGAUUGACGCUGAGGCACGAAAGCGUGGGGAUCAAACAGG